rnacentral:rRNA from 1 species
UACGGGGGGGGCAAGCGUUGUUCGGAAUUACUGGGCGUAAAGGGCUCGUAGGCGGCCAACUAAGUCGGACGUGAAAUCCCCAGGCUCAACCUGGGAACUGCGUCCGAUACUGGAUGGCUUGAAUCCGGGAGAGGGAUGCAGAAUUCCAGGUGUAGCGGUGAAAUGCGUAGAUAUCGGGAGGAACACCGGUGGCGAAGGCGGUUCUCUGGGCCUGACCUGACGCUGAGGAGCGAAAGCGUGGGGAGCGAACAGG